UACAGAGGUCUCAAGCGUUGUUCGGAUUCAUUGGGCGUAAAGGGUGCGUAGGCGGCGCGGUAAGUCGGGUGUGAAAUCUUGGAGCUUAACUCCGAAACUGCAUUCGAUACUGCCGUGCUUGAGGACUGGAGAGGAGACUGGAAUUUACGGUGUAGCGGUGAAAUGCGUAGAUAUCGUAAGGAAGACCAGUGGCGAAGGCGGGUCUCUGGACAGUUCCUGACGCUGAGGCACGAAAGGCCAGGGGGAGCAAAACGG
rnacentral:rRNA from 1 species